GGAAUGUGGGAGUGGUCGCUCAGCCAUACAAAGUUAAUUUUAAUAUCGAGCUGCUGCUGAAAGUUACAUGAUUGUUAUUAUCGCUGGACAACAACCUAAGGAUUUGACUGUGUAAAGUGUUUAUAUUAUCCUGUGUUUGGCUCUCACUUAUUAUCAAGUGCCUUUCUGUACUGAUUACUUCUCAGAGCUACUGUUUAUAUGAUGUUGCUUUAUGUAACCUGUUUUUUAUGCAUGUGUAAUGUUUGAGGGCGGUGUAUAGGGUUAGAAGGAGUUGGAAUACAUAUUGUGAAAUGCUGG